UACGGGGGGGGCAAGCGUUGUUCGGAAUUACUGGGCGUAAAGGGCUCGUAGGUGGCCAACUAAGUCGGACGUGAAAUCCCUCGGCUUAACCGGGGAACUGCGUCUGAUACUGGAUGGCUUGAGUUCGGGAGAGGGAUGCGGAAUUCCAGGUGUAGCGGUGAAAUGCGUAGAUAUCAGGAGGAACACCGAUGGCGAAGGCAGUUCUCUGGGCCGUAACUGACGCUGAGGAGCGAAAGCGUGGGGAGCGAACAGG
rnacentral:rRNA from 1 species